rnacentral:rRNA from 1 species
GACGAACGCUGGCGGCGUGCCUAACACAUGCAAGUCGAGCGAGAAGACGUAGCAAUACGUUUGUAAAGCGGCGAACGGGUGAGGAAUACAUGGGUAACCUACCCUCGAGUGGGGAAUAACUAGCCGAAAGGUUAGCUAAUACCGCGUACGCUCCUUGGACUUCGGUUCAGGGAGGAAAGCGAUACCGUGGGUAUCGCGCUCUUGGAUGGGCUCAUGUCCUAUCAGCUUGUUGGUGAGGAACGGCUCACCAAGGCUUCGACGGGUAGCUGGUCUGAGAGGACGAUCAGCCACACUGGCACUGCGACACGGGCCAGACUCCUACGGGAGGCAGCAGUAAGGAAUAUUGCGCAAUGGGCGAAAGCCUGACGCAGCGACGCCGCGUGGGGGA